rnacentral:misc_RNA from 1 species
GGCAAAAGAGGGUUGAGCUUGCAAGUUUGAAACAAAAAAUGGGCAUUCCUAAUACAAUUUUGAGAAAAUUCCCUCUUGCAUUAUUUGCUCUAUUUAUACUUCUCUACACAAAUCGCUGUCGAGCUGCUCUUCUUGCCAAGAGCAACAACACUUUCCAUUGCAAUGGCCGAGAUGAUUGCUUCAUCUCGGACGACUUGGAAUUGGAGUCGUUUAUGGAGUCCUACGCUAGCAUUUAUAGUAGCCGAAUGCUUGCCGCUAAUGUUAAAAUUGGAGUUAUCCCGCAGGAUAGCAGUGAUACGCCAAAAGUUUGCCCAAACUCACCGCAGUAUUGCUAUCCUCCAAGGACUCCAGAAAGAUGCAAGCAGUCAUACAACAGAAACUGCUAGCUCUUAAUUAUGAAGAACAAGGUAGAAGCCAGCCAUUC